CAAUAGCGUAUAUUAAAGUUGUUGCAGUUAAAAAGCUCGUAGUUGGAUUUCGGAAUGUGCAUUUUGAUUCCUCGUAAGAGUUGAUAUCUUAUAUGUUUAACUUCCUUUCUUUUUAUGAUUUGAAUUUCGGAUCAUAUGUUUUACUUUGAGUAAAUUAGAGUGUUUAAAGCAAGCUUAAUGCUUGAAUAUUAAAGCAUGGAAUAAUAAAAUAAGACUUUGAUUUUAUUUUGUUGGUUUAUAAAAUCAAGGUAAUGAUUAAAAGGGAUAGUUGGGGGCAUUAGUACUCCGUAGUCAGAGGUGAAAUUCAUAGAUUUACGGAAGACUAACUACUGCGAAAGCAUUUGCCAAGAAUGUUUUCAUUA
rnacentral:rRNA from 1 species